rnacentral:rRNA from 1 species
GAUGAACGCUGGCGGUCUGCUUAACACAUACAGGUCGAACGGAACCUUUCGGGGUUUAGUGGCGGACGGGUGAGUAACGCGUGAGAAUCUACCCUUUGGUUCGGGACAACAGUUGGAAACGACUGCUAAUACCGGAUGUGCCGGAAGGUGAAAGCUUUAGUGCCAAAGGAAGAGCUCGCGUCUGAUUAGCUAGUAGGAGUGGUAACGACACCCCUAGGCGACGAUCAGUAGCUGGUCUGAGAGGAUGAUCAGCCACACUGGGACUGAGACACGGCCCAGACUCCUACGGGAGGCAGCAGUGGGGAAUUUUCCGCAAUGGGCGAAAGCCUGACGGAGCAAUACCGCGUGCGGGAGGAAGCUUUUUGGAGUGUAAACCGCUUUUCUCAGGGAAGAUGAUGACGGUACCUGAGGAAUCAGCAUCGGCUAACUUCGUGCCAGCAGCCGCGGUAAU